rnacentral:rRNA from 1 species
GUGCCAGCCGCCGCGGUAAUACAGAGGGUGCAAACGUUGUUCGGAAUUACUGGGCGUAAAGCGCGUGUAGGCGGCCUCGUGUGUCGGGCGUGAAAUCCCACGGCUCAACCGUGGAAGUGCACUCGAAACUGCAAGGCUGGAGUACUGGAGAGGAUGGUAGAAUGCUCGGUGUAGAGGUGAAAUUCGUAGAUAUCGAGCGGAAUACCGGUGGCGAAGGCGGCCAUCUGGACAGUCACUGACGCUGAGACGCGAAAGCGUGGGGAGCAAACAGGAUUAGAUACCCCUGUAGUCC